CGUGCAGGCGGUUGAUUAAGUCUGGCGUGAAAGCUCUCGGCUAAACCGAGAGAGGUCGUUGGAUACUGGUCAACUUGAGGACGGUAGAGGCGAGUGGAAUUCCGGGUGUAGUGGUGAAAUGCGUAGAGAUCCGGAGGAACACCAGUGGCGAAGGCGACUCGCUGGGCCGUACCUGACGCUAAGACGCGACAGCAUGGGGAGCGAACG
rnacentral:rRNA from 1 species